rnacentral:rRNA from 1 species
GACGAACGCUGGCGGCGUGCUUAACACAUGCCAGUCGAACGGAAAGGCCCUGCUUUUGUGGGGUGCUCGAGUGGCGAACGGGUGAGUAACACGUGAGUAACCUGCCCUUGACUUUGGGAUAACUUCAGGAAACUGGGGCUCAUACCGGAUAGGAGCUCCUGCUGCAUGGUGGGGGUUGGAAAGUUUCGGCGGUUGGGGAUGGACUCGCGGCUUAUCAGCUUGUUGGUGGGGUAGUGGCUUACCAAGGCUUUGACGGGUAGCCGGCCUGAGAGGGUGACCGGCCACAUUGGGACUGAGAGACGGCCCAGACUCCUACGGGAGGCAGCAGUGGGGAAUAUUGCACAAUGGGCGGACGCCUGAUGCAGCAACGCCGCGUGCGGGAUGACGGCCUUCGGGUUGUAAACCGCUUUCGCCUGUGACGAAGCGUGAGUGACGGUAAUGGGUAAAGAAGCACCGGCUAACUACGUG